rnacentral:misc_RNA from 1 species
AGAACCUUCACUCAUGUUGUUCUGGUUGUGUGGAGCCUUAGUGUGUUCCAGUUUCCGAUCUCCUUCACAGAGUCCAGAAACGACAACGUUGCCAUCAGUAUCCAUAGAGACAGGCAGUAUAUGAAGAUUAUCGUACGUACCCUAAACGUGUGUUUUAAAACGGAAAUUUGGAGCAUAUUGGCGGCAAUCUUCAUGCAGGAGUUCCCGUUUCUGGUUUGUCGUUCUUAUGCCGUCGGUGCUCUGGGAAUUGUAAAUGACUCUAUCAUUUUCUUUUUAUUCAAAAACUCGUUGAUAAUAUCCAUGUACACGUACCGUCUUGUUUCCCUGUGUUUGGAAAUUGACCCUUAUAGUGAUUUGAGGACUGCAGUUGUUGAAACAGAGAUUAUAAAUGGAAGACAAACCAUGACCAUUCAAGGAAUUGAUGAUGAGGAAGAGAUAGUGACGCUCGACAUUUCAGCGAACAAACAAUCUGAGGUUGAUUCUCGUCCAAAUGAGACACAUCAUCAGAAUUUUCAAGAAAACGACUAUCAACAGCAAACGAUGAAUGUGAAGACUGUUAACAAGCGCAUAAAGCCCAAAAUCUGUCCAGAAAAUGUUAAGGAUUCAUAACAUUAGCAAUGAUUGGAAAGAGGAAAUUUCUAAAUAAAUAUAUUCAUAUGU